GUGACAUUGUAAAACAUUCCCUCCAGAAAAUUCGCUAUUUGUCUUCCUUCCCCACUCGCUCUGCAACUAAUGCUCUGCCUCUUCAAUGGAAGAACACGCUUCAAGUAGUAGUAGUAGUUCUCAACUACAACCUUCAUUAGAUGAUUGUUUGAAGCUAUUCAGAGGAGAAAGGGAUGAACAGAGGUUAGCCGGUCUACUUGUUGUUACCAAAUUUUGCAAUAAAGAUGACCAUACAGCCAUUCGCAAGAUUUACGAUGCCCUAGGACCUCAAUUCCUACACCGACUUCUUCGAACCGGAAUAGGGAAAGGAAGUGAUGUCGGGAGUAGCGAUAAUCGUGAUGCCUACUUGCAAUUGUCGAUCACAGUUCUUGCAGCAUUUUGUAGAGUUCCCCAGAUUGCAGCUUCUGAAGAAAUGAUUAAUAAGAUUCCUCUCAUUCUAGAGGCAAUAUCCAGAGAAGCAGGAUCACCUAUAAUUGAAGACUGCUAUGAGUAUUUGUUUUUGGUCUCAACGGCGAGUGAAGAAGGGGUUCAAACCUUGUACAAAUCUGGUGGCUUGAAUGUGCUAGCUUCACAAAUGAUGAUUCUACCCGAUGGUUCUCAUAUGAUUGAACUUGCUCUGAGACUUGUGCAAAUCAUUGUCAUUAAGCUACCCUCGGAAAAUGUUUAUUCUGAGCAUCCAACUGACCUGUCACUGGUGGUGUGUGCAGUGGCAAAGCAGUUUGCUGUUCUACAGAAUGCACUGAAAUUUGAAGCGCUUCACCUCCUAUCAACUAUCCUGUCCAACAGAUAUUCUGCACCUGUAUAUGAUGCUCUUCGCUUAGUGGAAAAUGAUGUUUGGUCGACAAAUUUGUGGAUUGGUAUUCUGGCGAUCUUGCAAAAUCGAGUUGCACCUUCACAUAAACUUCAUGCUCUUGUUCUGACCGAGUGUGUCAUAUCAAUUGUUGGUGAACGGUGGCUUAAUGGGGAGAUGAACUUAACUGGUUCUCAGGUUUCCCUGCCUGCUGACAGGUGCAUUCUGCUUAUUUUGGAGUCGUCAAGGGUUGAAAUUGCUGUUCUUCUAAAUGAUCUGGCAUACUUAAAAUAUGAAGCCUCCAACGCAUCCUCGAAUAGAGAGAACAUUCUUGUGAAGCAGAGGAAUCUUGGUGUAGCCUUCUCUUUGGUUGAAAAAAUAAUUAAACUUAUUUCUAGUUUUGGUGGAGAAGAGUCAACUGCCAAUGCUAUUAUCAGUGAGAGCACUUUCACAAAAAUCAUUUCUGGGCUCAAUGAGACAAUUGGUGUUGUUUUGGACUAUAUACGAGAUGCUAAGGAGCAUGGACAGAUGAAAGGGGAUGAUCUUCUAGCAGCAGUGCGAGUA
rnacentral:misc_RNA from 1 species